rnacentral:rRNA from 1 species
AGGACGAACGCUGGCGGCGUGCUUAACACAUGCAAGUCGAACGGAACUCUUUGGAUCGAGACUUCGGUCAAGUGAAUCUGAGUUUAGUGGCGGACGGGUGAGUAACGCGUGGGUAACCUGCCCUUUUGUGGGGGAACAACUUCGAGAAAUCGGAGCUAAUACCGCAUGAGCUUGCGGAACCGCAUGGUUCUGCAAGGAAAGAUGGCCUCUGAACAUGCUAUCGCAAAAGGAUGGACCCGCGUCUGAUUAGCUAGUUGGUGAGGUAAACGGCCCACCAAGGCGACGAUCAGUAGCCGGACUGAGAGGUUGACCGGCCACAUUGGGACUGAGAUACGGCCCAGACUCCUACGGGAGGCAGCAGUGGGGAAUAUUGGGCAAUGGACGCAAGUCUGACCCAGCAACGCCGCGUGAAGGAAGAAGGCUUUCGGGUUGUAAACUUCUUUUAUCAGGGAAGAGUAGAAGACGGUACCUGAUGAAUAAGCCACGGCUAACUACGUG